rnacentral:tRNA from 16 species
CGGGACGUGGCCUAGGGGCUAGGGCACCCGGUUUGGGACCGGAAGAUCGAGGGUUCAAAUCCCUCCGUCCCGA